rnacentral:rRNA from 1 species
UACGGAGGGUGCAAGCGUUAUCCGGAUUUAUUGGGUUUAAAGGGAGCGUAGGCGGGAUUGUAAGUCAGUGGUGAAAGCCCGUAGCUCAACUACGGAACUGCCAUUGAUACUGCAGACCUAGAGUACACUUGAAGUGGGCGGAAUGUGUCAUGUAGCGGUGAAAUGCUUAGAUAUGACACAGAACACCAAUUGCGAAGGCAGCUCACUAAAUUGUAACUGACGCUGAGGCUCGAUAGCGUGGGGAUCAAACAGG